rnacentral:rRNA from 1 species
CAGCAGCCGCGGGAAUACGAAGGGUGCAAGCGUUAAUCGGAAUUACUGGGCUUAAAGCGCGUGUAGGCGGGACGGCACGUCGACUGCUGAAAUCCCUCGGCUUAACCGAGGAAGUGGCGUCGAUACGACCGUCCUGGAGGAACGUAGGGGGACCUGGAACUUCCGGUGGAGCGGUGAAAUGCGUUGAGAUCGGAAGGAACGCCCGCGGCGAAAGCGAGGUCCUGGACGUUUUCUGACGCUGAGACGCGAAAGCUAGGGGAGCGAACGGGAUUAGAUACCCCAGUAGUCCCUGUCUCUUAUA